UACGGAGGGCGCAAGCGUUGUUCGGAAUCAUUGGGCGUAAAGCGCGUGUAGGCGGCUUGGCAAGUCGAGUGUGAAAGCCCGGGGCUCAACCCCGGAAGGUCGCUCGAAACUGCCUCGCUCGAGUCCCGGAGAGGAAGGCGGAAUUCCCGGUGUAGAGGUGAAAUUCGUAGAUAUCGGGAGGAACACCAGCGGCGAAGGCGGCCUUCUGGACGGUGACUGACGCUGAGACGCGAAAGCGUGGGGAGCAAAC
rnacentral:rRNA from 1 species